rnacentral:rRNA from 1 species
UACGGAGGGAGCUAGCGUUGUUCGGAAUUACUGGGCGUAAAGCGCACGUAGGCGGCUUUGUAAGUUAGAGGUGAAAGCCCGGGGCUCAACUCCGGAACUGCCUUUAAGACUGCAUCGCUUGAAUCCAGGAGAGGUGAGUGGAAUUCCGAGUGUAGAGGUGAAAUUCGUAGAUAUCGGGAGGAACACCAGUGGCGAAGGCGGCGACCUGGACGGACACUGACGCUGAGACGCGAAAGCGUGGGGAGCAAACAGG